rnacentral:rRNA from 1 species
CCUACGGGGGGCUGCAGUGGGGAAUAUUGGACAAUGGGGGGAACCCUGAUCCAGCCAUGCCGCGUGUGUGAAGAAGGCCCUCGGGUUGUAAAGCACUUUCAGUGAGGAAGAACGCCUGGUGGUUAAUACCCAUCAGGAAAGACAUCACUCACAGAAGAAGCACCGGCUAACUCCGUGUCAGCAGCCGCGGCAAUACGGAGGGUGCGAGCGUUAAUCGGAAUUACUGGGCGUAAAGCGCGCGUAGGUGGCUUGAUAAGCCGGUUGUGAAAGCCCCGGGCUCAACCUGGGAACGGCAUCCGGAACUGUCAAGCUAGAGUGCAGGAGAGGAAGGUAGAAUUCCCGGUGUAGCGGUGAAAUGCGUAGAGAUCGGGAGGAAUACCAGUGGCGAAGGCGGCCUUCUGGACUGACACUGACACUGAGGUGCGAAAGCGUGGGUAGCAAACAGGAUUAGAUACCCUUGUAGUC